AAAAAAAAGUUUAAAGAAAAUAGUAAUGUAUUCUAUAAGCUUCUAUCUCUGGUUUUGAUAGAACUCCAUGUUUCUCUCUCACAAUUCUUUACUUUGGAUGUAAGUUCUGUUUCGGGAAGUAUUAGGAAACCUUCACAUCUCAAGUGAAGUUCUUAUAGAAUCUCAGUAUUCUGAAAAAUGUCUACGUUGUGAAACGCUCCCUGGCAAGGAGACUGUGGAGGCAAACUGAUUUCUGUACAGCGGUGUCCAUCGUUUCUUCUGAGAUGCGAAUUGUGGUCUGACUGACCUCCCAGCACUGGCUUGUUUCAGUGUUCAAGAGAGAAUGGUGAAUGGAAGUAUCCCCUGCAUUAUGCUCAACACUAAAAUUAGCUGAGAACAGUUGGAAAGAAUUAAGCUGGCGGACCCUUGCGUUUUCCAUCUGACAACAGGAAGUAUUGACUCUGUAUCUGUCUCUGUUUGGAAUUUCCAAAUCUUACAGUCUGGAACCUCUUGCAGUAUUUGAGACUGAAAUUCUUGCAGUUUAAGGUAGUCAAGGCUGUGCUAUUAAAGGUCGUAGUCUGACUUGGUGUGUCACUGUGGUAGUUGUGUCUGGGAUGUUAAUGAUGCAGUGAAAAGAGAGUAAUGAUAAUUGUAAAUGUCAGUAUUGGAUACAAGUUUAUAAUGCUACAGUGUUGCUAUUUGCUUUCACAGAAUAUGUUGAAGGUUUUUUCUGUUUUUUGUUUUGUUUUGUUUUUGUUUUUUGUGGAGGAGAUACAAAAAAGGUACUUAAUACUACAGUGGAACCUGUGAUAUGAGAGCUGUUCUGAAGCUGCAAAAGUCCUUGCUUUCUAGAAUAGCACGGAAGAGUGCAAAUCUGCUUUAGGGAGGCCUAGCCUUCCUAUACAGACAGAAAACUGUUGAGUGUGAAGCUGUGGAUACUCUCCAGAAUAAUUUGUGCGUUGCUCCUGCACGUUCCACUUGCCACUUUGGUCAGUGAGGAACUAGUGAAGUGAAAAGAAAAUGACAUGAAGUGAUUUGGAGGAAAAAAACAAAGGAGAAGAAAAGGUAAAAGGAAGACUGACAAAUACAGGAUGAAAAGUGAAUUGAAAAGGACAAGUUCAAUGAAAGAUCAGUUUGGCAAACAGAAAUAGAAAGGACAGAUGAAAUUGGCAAUAAACGAAGGGAAAGUUAUGGGAGUAAGGGUGAAGAACUUUUGUUUGUUUGUUUUAGCUAUGUUAUGAAAGCUCCUUAAAAUCUUCUGUAUUAGUCUUUCUGCCUUAAAUGAUUUAAGUGCUAGAGAACUGCUGGCUUAUAUUUAAGCUAUUUUAGUUCUGUCAUUGGAGAUGGUUCAUAGAGGGUAGUUGCUGACAAGUUUGAAUAUCAAGAAACAAAGUGACCCAUAACUGAUUAAUCCUUAUUGUUUGGUUUUAAAGGGGUAGGAUUUUCAUCUGUUUCUUUUCAGGAUGCAAGUGUGUGCGUGUGUGUGCGUGUGUGUGCGUGUGUGUGCGUGAACAGUUGUAUUUCAUUACAAUUCAGUUAUCAGAUGGGGGUAAUCAACCUGGGAAAAUAGCACUCUUAAGAGGCUGGAAUAGAUUAGGUUAGUCGGAAUAGGGGAUGCACAAAGAUAUCUGGUGCAACUGUCUGACCACGUCAUGGCUAUUGAAAAGUUAAAGGAUAUUAUUGAGGACAUUAUCCAAAUGACUCUUGAGCACUGGCAGGCUUAGGUUGUCAACCAUAGGAAACCUGGGGAAGUGUUUGACCACUCUCAUAGUGUUAA